AGCAUGUGGUUUAAUUCGAAGCAACGCGAAGAACCUUACCAGGUCUUGACAUCCCGAUGCUAUUUCUAGAGAUAGAAAGUUACUUCGGUACAUCGGUGACAGGUGGUGCACGGUUGUCGUCAGCUCGUGUCGUGAGAUGUUGGGUUAAGUCCCGCAACGAGCGCAACCCCUAUUGUUAGUUGCCAUCAUUCAGUUGGGCACUCUAGCGAGACUGCCGGUAAUAAACCGGAGGAAGGUGGGGAUGACGUCAAAUCAUCAUGCCCCUUAUGACCUGGGCUACACACGUGCUACAAUGGUUGGUACAACGAGUUGCGAGUCGGUGACGGCGAGCUAAUCUCUUAAAGCCAAUCUCAGUUCGGAUUGUAGGCUGCAACUCGCCUACAUGAAGUCGGAAUCGCUAGUAAUCGCGGAUCAGCACGCCGCGGUCGAAUACGUUCCCGGGCCUU
rnacentral:rRNA from 1 species